CUCGUCCUCACCUAGAGAUACAGAACUACUUGUUGCCCCAAUCAACGAAAAAUCACGCGAAUUAACUCCAUGGAAUUCAAAUAGAAACAGCAAAGUGACAAAGAAUGCGCGAAUGCAACGAUUCGGGAACGUACGCUAUUGAUUCUUCAAAUCGAAACGUUUCUCAGGAGGAGAAAUAAGAAAUCCAUGGUUGUGGGGAUUUUUCUAUAUUUAUUUUUGUCCUUUU
rnacentral:misc_RNA from 1 species